rnacentral:rRNA from 1 species
AAAAAGAAACCCAACAGGGAUUGCCCUAGUAACGGCGAGUGAAGCGGCAACAGCUCAAAUUUGAAAUCUGGCGCAAGCCCGAGUUGUAAUUUGUAGAGGAUGUUUCUGGCGACGUGCCUUCCGAGUUCCCUGGAACGGGACGCCAUAGAGGGUGAGAGCCCCGUACGGUUGGAUGCCUAGCCUCUGUGAAACUCCUUCGACGAGUCGAGUAGUUUGGGAAUGCUGCUCUAAAUGGGAGGUAUACGUCUUCUAAAGCUAAAUACCGGCCAGAGACCGAUAGCGCACAAGUAGAGUGAUCGAAAGAUGAAAAGCACUUUGAAAAGAGGGUUAAAAAGUACGUGAAAUUGUUGAAAGGGAAGCGUUCAUGACCAGACUUGGGCAGGUUGAUCAUCCGUGGUUCUCCGCGGUGCACUCUGCCUGCCCAGGCCAGCAUCAGUUCGCCCCGGGGGAUAAAGGUUUCGGGAAUGUGGCUCCUCCGGGAGUGUUAUAGCCCGUUGCGUAAUACCCUGGGACGGACUGAGGUUCGCGCUCUGCAAGGAUGCUGGCGUAAUGGUCAUCAACGACCCGUCUUGAAACACGGACCAAGGAGUCGUCUUCGUAUGCGAGUGUUCGGGUGUCAAACCCCUACGCGUAAUGAAAGUGAACGUAGGAGAGAGCUUCGGCGCAUCUCCGACCGAUCCUGAUGUUCUCGGAUGGAUUUGAGUAAGAGCAUACGGGGCCGGACCCGAAAGAAGGUGAACUAUGCCUGUAUAGGGUGAAGCCAGAGGAAACUCUGGUGGAGGCUCGCAGCGGUUCUGACGUGCAAAUCGAUCGUCAAAUAUGGGCAUGGGGGGCGAAAGACUAAUCGAACCUUCUAGUAGCUGGU